AUUGAACGCUGGCGGCAUGCUUUACACAUGCAAGUCGAACGGUAACAGGCCGCAAGGUGCUGACGAGUGGCGAACGGGUGAGUAAUGCAUCGGAACGUGCCCAGUCGUGGGGGAUAACUACUCGAAAGAGUAGCUAAUACCGCAUACGAUCUAUGGAUGAAAGCGGGGGACCGUAAGGCCUCGCGCGAUUGGAGCGGCCGAUGUCCGAUUAGGUAGUUGGUGGGGUAAAGGCUCACCAAGCCAACGAUCUGUAGCUGGUCUGAGAGGACAACCAGCCACACUGGGACUGAGACACGGCCCAGACUCCUACGGGAGGCAGCAGUGGGGAAUUUUGGACAAUGGGCGCAAGCCUGAUCCAGCAAUGCCGCGUGCAGGAAGAAGGCCUUCGGGUUGUAAACUGCUUUUGUACGGAACGAAACGGCUCUGGUUAAUACCCGGGGCUAAUGACGGUACCGUAAGAAUAAGCACCGGCUAACUACGUG
rnacentral:rRNA from 1 species